GGGUAAGCUUUGUGCUACCUCUUUGUUUCUUUGUUUUUUUUGUUGUUGAAAAGUAAAGGAUAGUUUCUGAAUAUUGAGAAGUGAGUCUGUGGAAUAAAUCAAAGAUUGAUUUAUGAGUUAUUGAUUAUAUAAUUGGAGCACUUAAAGAUUGAAUUAUAUAAGGAGUUAUUAGAAGAUUAUGAUUGUUGUUUAUUGAGAGCUAUAUGUGUUUUGACAGAGGAAGUUUGUGAUUACAGAAAUUAUGUGAAUUCAGAUUGUUAGAGUGAAAUUUGUUAUUCAUGGUGUUAGAUGGAAAUUAUUUUGUUUUGAAUGGUCUUUUGAAAGUGCAAGGU
rnacentral:lncRNA from 1 species